CCUAGAAAGAAAGUGUGGUGAGUAUGGUAUCUAUGGUGUGAACCAAGCAUCUAGCCCUAUACAGGUAACGUGGUGAGUACACAGGUAGCCCUAUACAGGUAACGUGGUGAGUACACAGAUAGCCCUAUAGAGGUAAUGUGGUGAGUACACAGUUAGCCCUAUACAGGUAACAUGGUGAGUACACAGGUAGCAUGGUGAGUACACAGGUAGCCCUAUACAGGUAACGUGGUGAGUACACAGUUAGCCCUAUACAGGUAACGUGGUGAGUACACAGGUAGCCCUAUACAGGUAACAUGGUUAGUACACAGGUAGCCCUAUACAGGUAACAUGGUGAGUACACAGGUAGCCCUAUACAGGUAACAUGGUGAGUUCACAGGUAGCCCUAUACAGGUAAUGUGGUGAGUACACAGGUAGCCCUAUGCAGGUAACAUGGUGAGUACACAGGUAGCCCUAUACAGGUAACGUGGUGAGUUCACAGGUAGCCCUAUACAGGUAAUGUGGUGAGUUCACAGGUAGCCCUAUACAGGUAAUGUGGUGAGUACACAGGUAGCCCUAUACAGGUAAUGUGGUGAGUACACAGGUAGCCCUAUACAGGUAACAUGGUGAGUACACAGGUAGCCCUAUACAGGUAACAUGGUGAGUACACAGGUAGCCCUAUACAGGUAACAUGGUGAGUACACAGGUAGCCCUAUAGAGGUAACAUGGUGAGUACACAGGUAGCCCUAUACAGGUAACAUGGUGAGUUCACAGGUAGCCCUAUACAGGUAAUGUGGUGAGUACACAGGUAGCCCUAUGCAGGUAACAUGGUGAGUACACAGGUAGCCCUAUACAGGUAACGUGGUGAGUUCACAGGUAGCCCUAUACAGGUAAUGUGGUGAGUUCACAGGUAGCCCUAUACAGGUAAUGUGGUGAGUACACAGGUAGCCCUAUACAGGUAAUGUGGUGAGUACACAGGUAGCCCUAUACAGGUAACAUGGUGAGUACACAGGUAGCCCUAUACAGGUAACAUGGUGAGUACACAGGUAGCCCUAUACAGGUAACAUGGUGAGUACACAGGUAGCCCUAUACAGGUAACAUGGUGAGUACACAGGUAGCCCUAUACAGGUAACAUGGUGAGUAUGGGGUGUAU
rnacentral:lncRNA from 8 species